rfam:Aedes albopictus isolate Foshan contig118031, whole genome shotgun sequence.
UAGCCUAGUGGUUAGGCUAUGGAUCGCCAAUCCGGAGACGGCGGGUUCGAUUCCCGU